CCGAUUUGGGCUUCGAAACGUUAAUAAAAUCAUCUUUUUGGUAAAAUUGUGGCUUAUUUCCCAUUAAAAAUAGUUGAUUGUAAAAAUACCACAAUAGCUUCAGAACAACAUGUUAUUAUAUUAUUUUUUUUAUUACAUAUUUUAAUUUGUGGUAAUCACUUUUUUUACUUCUAUUUUUUUGUUAUUUUUUUUACUUGUUUUUUUUUUCUUUUCUUUUUUUUGUUUCUAUUUUUUUUAUUUAUUUAUUUUUUUUGUUAUAAUUAUUUUAUUAUAUGUUCUUUUUUAUAUAUUAUUUUUUUUCUUUUUAAUUUUUUCAAACCAAACUAACAAAUUAUUCCUAGUUUACAACUUGUACUUACAUAAUUUAACAUGUUUAUACAUGAGAUGAAGAAUUUCCAUAUCAUUUGUAAAUAUUAAAGUAUUAAGGUUUAUUGGGAAACAACAUUUUAAAUUUUUUAAUUCCUUAUAAAGGUCGUUUAUGUUAUUUAUCUGUAAAUGACAUUCUAAUAUGACAUGUGUUAGAUCUCCGAUUUUGCCACAAGUACAAUUGGGAGUAUCUGCCGGUAUGAAUAUCUAGCCAAGAAAUAUAUACAUGUAUUAUAAGCUAACGAGCGAUCCACAGUUAUUGGGAUCAAAGCUAACCGUACAAAAAAUUACGUAUGUCUUGUUUUAAUCUGAAUUUAUAUCAUUGGUUUAUCAAUUAAUUUUGAUUAACAUUAUAAAACAUAAAAAAUCAGUCAAAACCUUUAACACAGAACUUUAAUCAAAAAUAAAAAGAAUUAACAAAAUUAUAAGUAACAAUAAUAAAUAAAAUCAAACAAGAUGCUGUAUAUGUCCACCACCAACAUCUCUACAUAACCUAACUUUUCUUGUUAAGUUGACGUACACUGCAAAGUUGACGUAAACUGCAAAGUAUGUCUGAAUUAAGAAUAUACAUGCAUUGUAUAGCUAUCUCUGUCGUUCAGAGCCACCUAUGGUGACAAUAAUUUUGGAUCACACGUUAUCAUCAGCCUGUACUGAAUUUACUACGAAUCACAGCCCAAGGGUUAGACUUCGCGCAAGCGCAUUCAAGAAAAAUGAAACGACUUAGUCACGGGCGACUCCACGUUGUGGUUCUAAGGUUAAAAUGUAAUAUGGUCCAAAUAUUGCCAAGAUCGUCGAUAUUUUAUUUGUUUUUAUAAUCAUAUUCCGUAUUUUCUUAAUUUUUUUGUUGGGUAGGUGCUAUUUGUAACUGUGAUUCACACAUAUACUAUCUACAAUCGCUGUAAGCCCACAUUUAUUAUGGCUCUAAAUCUAUUAAGAGAGGUUCACUUACAAUUCUUUUCUUUCGGUUGGUUCAACACAUGCGUAGUUGCCAGAUUUAUCACUACAAAAAGCAACUAAAGACUAAUCCAACAAUUCAUACACUGCAUUACUAAUUCUAAGUUGCUUAUUGAUUAAAAUGUCAGAGAUUUUCAUUCAUUUAUUUAGUAAAUCUCAAGUAGUAAGCUCCUUCUGCUUCUUGCCGGUCAAGGUCUUGGUGAGACGAGGUUGAAAAAUAAAACUUUAAGACUAUAUUAUCGAAAUGUUAACUCUAUAUCUAAAAAAUGUGUUCAACUGAAUGCAGAUGCUUUCAGUAUUACAAUUUGGUGCAAUACACUGUUUCACCAAAGACCAACCAACAACGAUCGAUCUAGUUUAGAAUCUGGUGGAGAAAGUGCUGAGAAUGACGUCUGAGAAGUCGAUUCGGGAGCGUUAGAAUUUUUUAUAUCGAAAUUUAGCAGUACAGAGCAGUACAGGUAGAUAUUUUUUUGUUUUUAGACGGCCAAGUGGGGACUGAAUGAAUCUUUGCCACUAUUUAAGCUUUCUAGAUACGCCAAUUGGAAUGAAUUAGUCAUUUUUAUAUAAAUUUAGCUUGAGACUUUUAUACAAAUUAUAUCGGUAAAACUUUAUCAUAAAAACUUAAUUAUAAAAUAAUAAGUGGCUGAACAAUCGGUAUACAAAGGCUGAAGAAAGUUUGUAUGAAUUUACCAAACCAGUUCACAGGAACUGAACUUGAUAUUAUAGAAAAUAACAUGUCACUCAGUUUCCAGGCUCAACUUGUGUCGAAUUUGUACCAGGUCAAGCUUUCGACUUCCGAUCUGCCGUCUUCAUCACAACGUAUUCCUUCUUAGUCCACAGGUAACUUUACUACUACACUCCCUGACGCUAUAAACUGCACUAUUGUAAUAUUUAGUGCCAGUAAGUGCAUUAGUGAAGGAAUCUUGUGAUUUUGGACACUUAGAUCCGGGAGUAUGUCAUGAUGAAGACUCUAGCGAGUGGGUCGAAUGCGCAACGUUGCCAAAUUUCACAUGUUUCAACCCGGAAAAUGAAUAAGUUUAAUAUUAACGAUCAAAUAUAAGAUGCAAGCUAUUCUGGACUUUUUACGACCCUUUAUACCAAGAGAGAAUAUUAUACGACGCCGAUGUGUUCUUUCAUCUCACGAGAGCUCUUACUGAUACAAAAACGUUUAUAUGAAUACAAUUGUCACAUUGACAAUUUAGUUUAAAUAUCAGUUCACUAGAUUUUAAACUGACUACUAAAUCUCAAAGAUUCGACAUCAAGAAUGAAACAUAUAUUGGUCAUAAAUAUUUGUUUGCAAGUUGUCUUUCCACAACCGACACAACUAUUCUUUUUGUCCAAUUUUUGGGAUCGUAUCUAUCCAAUAUCUUUAUAUGUGCAUAAAGUGCUUAAAUUUUACAAGAUAUAUGUAUAUCAGUUGAAGUUUUAUAUUUAGUUCAGUCCCAAUCAUGAUAUAUUUCACUAAUUUCCUGUUAUUUUAUUAUAUCUAAUUUAUUUACUGUUUUGAACACUUUUAUAGUUCCUCCACUAACCUCUUCGACUUUAGAGCAAAAUUGCUGUAUAUUAAUAUGGCGAACAAAGUGUGGGCAACUUGAAAAAAAAAAAACGUACGUUAUAUUGGAUAGAUAAAAGGUCAGCAAAUCGAUCGAUCAUACUAUAGAUAGUAUUAAAUAAUUGUAAAUACUAUUUAUUACAAUUUCUAGAGGUACAAAACUACGGAAUGAUCAAAAUAAUUGUUAAACAUAAAAAUAUAAUUUAUUAAAUAAAGCCUGUAACAUUUCGUUUUUAAAAAAGAUGUUUGUAGGAUAUCAUACCGACAUGGACGGUACUUUGUACGAAUGAUUUUUAAUAGUUUUUGCACGAUAUUGGAGAUUUUGAAUCUGUUCGUUGUAGUGUCGUUGAUACAAGAAUUUGCUUAUUUUAAUAUUUUUAGUGAGUUUAUACAGGGUGUAUCAUUAAGAAUGUCCAAUCUCUGAGUUGUAGAUUCUAGACCUCAAAAUAUUAAGAUUUAACCCAAAUCAUUUAAAUAAAAUGUGUCUCAUUACUGAGUUACAGGGUGUUUUAUUUAAAAAUUUAAUAAUUAGUUUUACCCAGUACUUUAAAACUAUUUGACAUAUCCUUGUCAUACUUUGCAGAAAGUGUAGGUAGGUAUACCCUUCUAAAUUAUGAUAAACAAACGCUUCUGGCUAGUACCAGAGGCGUACGACAGGGGACUGUGAAUGGUUAACCCCCCCUCAAAUUCUACGCCACUUGCAGAUUUGCUAUUUUAGCACAAUUUUUCGAUUUUCCAAUACUCUCUAUGUAAAGCCUUCACUCGUAACGAUAAAGUCAUUAGUUUUCGAGAUACAUAUUUGAAGUUAACCAUGUCACGGCACAGAUAUUUUGAUUAAUAUAGUACUGGGUACUAGAAGACUGUAGAAGUAUUGUAUGUAAUUUAAGUGAUAUAAGUAAAUCUUAAUAUUUUGAGGUCUAAAAUCUCCAAUUCAGAGAUUGGAAAUUCUUAAUGAUACACCCUCUAUACAGGGUGUCCCGGAAAAUAGUGCGUUCCUUCAAGGUACGGGCAAACUGCACCAUUUAUAGCAAAAAAGUCUGAUAAUUUUUUUUUGUAAAGUCAACCGUUUUCAAAAAAAUAAUUUAUUAAUUUUAAUACAUUUGAUUAAUGUCCACAGAAAUGCAAAUACAGCCGGCAACGCUGCGUUCCUUCUGUGUAAAAAUAAUUUUACUGGAACUUAACUAUCAUGAAUCAUCGACCAUUAGGCAUAAUAUUAUGUAUUGAUAAAAUACUGAUAACAGUGAUAGAAAAACAGCAUAUUAUUUGUGUUUAUUAAAUAUAUAAUAAAUAAGGUUAAGGUAUUAAAUAUCUAUCGGUAGAACAUGUUACAAAAAAUUUGAGUAUUACAUUUCUCCAUUCAAUCUUCUGGGAAGUUCGAGUGGUUCAAUCAGGGGUCGUAUUUUCGAAUUCAAUCGAAUUUGUUCGCAUACGAGUUAACUCGAAUAAAAAAUUUCGUAUACGAAUCUGAAUCUGUAUUUUUGAACGUUCUUCGAAAUGUUAUACGUGUACGAGAAGAAUUUGCACCGGCAACGCUGCAAAUUCGAACAACAUUGGGCUCAACCUUCAUCUGAAGAGUCACAGUGUUGUCAUACUUAUUUUAUUAAUUUCUUGUAUAAUUUCAAUCAAUGAUAUAAUCACAUUAUUAAAAAAAUAGCUAAAAUAUUAGCUGGAAUCGAAUCUUAAGCUUGCAUAAUAUUAGUAAUAUCGGUUUGCAAAGUCCACUAUUUUGUUUAUUAUUAUUUUUGUAUCCAGUAUUUACACUAAUAUUUUACUAGUUUUUUGGUGUUUCAAAACAAUUUUUUAAAUGCACGUUUAUAUAAUGUGAUAGUAUGAAAAAAUUGAGAAUUUACACUGAUAUUUUACUAUUUAAUUUUCAAAACAAACUGAGGUGUUUCAAAACUAUUUUUAAAAACUUUAUAUAAUGGGAUAGUAUGAAAAAAUUGAGGAUAUGGCAACGGUGUCAUAUGUCAAGCUUAGAGCUUACAUCCAAUGCUAGAAUACGUACAUAAAGUUAGGUUAGGUUAUAUAUUCAAUGCAUUAUCGUACAGUAUGUCGUUUCCUUCUAUUAAAAAAAUAUUUUAAACCACCCAUUGAAAAGAAAGUUCAAUGUAAAAAUAUUGUAUACAACAACGAUUAAAACCAUCAAUGACAACUGAAAUGACCUUGAAAUGACAACAAAACAAUUCGUAUACGAGCAUCCAAAUUCGAAUGGUUCAUACCCAUUCGAGUCAUCGUAUACGAAAAAAUUCGUACACGAAGUAUUCGAAAAUACAAAAAACUGGAUUUCGAGCGAAAUUCUUCUAAUUUCGUAUGCGAAAUAUACUCGAAUGAAUUCGAAAAUAGGGCCCCUGAGAUGAUUACUAAUAAUCCCAGCCUUUAUAUUAGUACUUUUGGCAUUAUUAAAGUAAAACACACACACACACACACACCAUUUCUCGUAAAACAAGCUUUAUCUGCACACAACACUUUACACAUUUUGUUUUGAAACCAUCUACAAAUCCUUAAACUUCGAGGUAAAUCGCCUUGGUGUACCUAAAUAUUGCACUAAUUAUACACUAUAGGAACGUAAUUAACAUGAUACUUGCGAUCGAAAUCAUGACAAUACCACAACAAUACAAUGUAUUCUCGGGUUACAGGUAAUUAUGAUAUUAUGACUGUUUGUGUUUACAAUUUUAAAUAUCUUCGCUAUGUCAAAAUAAAUAAAACUGCCGGGUUGCCAAAUGUAAAUUUUAUUAAAAGACAUUAUUUAAUUUUUUUGAGGCAGCAGAUGACGUUAGAAAAAAAUUUAUAAGAAAGUUUUCUCUUAAAUGGUGCAUUCUACCCACACCUUUAAGGAACGCACUAUUUUCCGGGACAUCCUGUAUAACAUAAGCGUUUUUACAAUAUUGCACUUGUUUGGAGUAUUGAUUGGAGUAAAACACUAUUUUGGUUAUAGGAGAUAGUGAAUUUUGAAAAGUAAGUAGAUUUGCCAGGAACACCAAAAUGUUAGUCGUGUAGUGUUUUUUUGUCCAACUGACCGUCUGGGAAUCAGUGCAGCUAACGUGUAGCCAGUUUUGCUACCAGCAAAAAGGCAAAAUCUAUCAAGAAAGUUACUAAGGCUAAAAAAACCGUAUCGUAAACAGACUUAUUUCUCAUUGAGUGCCCAUUACAGAAUCUCACGAGGAACUAUAUCAUAUGCUUUCUCAAGAUCAAUGAAUAAUUUUUACUUAAUUUUUGUAUUUUUUCAUCAACUGUCUUAUAAUGAUAAUUAUUGCAUGUUGUUGAUCCGUCACUCACACAGUCAAACUGAUUACUUGUAGCAGAUAUUUCAUUUUCUUCAGUAUCUUUCUCUCAUAAUGCUCUCCACACUUCCCCAGGAGUAUCAGCUGGUCCAACCGCUUUUCCUAUCUUUAUUUUUUUAACUACUUCUUAGUGUUUGUUAUUUUGGUAACCAUUGCUGUUACUGUCUCCAUUAACUGAACUGGUUUUUUGUCAAAUUCUUAUUUGAUAAACCCAUCUCUUUUUUACAUCCUUUUUUUGAUGAUGAUACAUUAAAAUGAUGAUAAUUAUAUCUGACAUAAAAAAAAAUUGAAAUAUAUUCAAAACAUAGCUUCUAUAACCAAAAAUACUAUUAUCAGAACUACAAGUAUACAGAAAAAGAACAUUUAGUAGCAUUAGAUUUUUUUAAUGCUGAAUUUUGCAAUACAGUCUUUACUUAUUUAAAUUUUUUUGCACUUUGUGGUUCUGUUGUAAGGACCAUGAAAUUUUCAGUAUGAUUUUUUUUUGGUAAAUGAAUAUUUUUUUAUAAAAGAACGAACAUCAGGGAUUAUAUAUACGUAAAAACAUAGAGUUCAAUAUUAGAAUUUGUGAAGUAUCUAAUGUUCUUUUGGAUAUUAAAUGUUUACAAACCCGAAAUACACCUUAACACAAAAUUAGAACAGACUCAUAGUCUCUUUUUGUACAUGAACAAAUGUAAGUUAUUUGCCAUAAUAAUUUGAAAAGUUGUAGAUUUAUGUAGGAAGUGUAAAAUUCAUUCAAACGAGCGCAUAAUUUUUAUUUACCAAAAAUGUACGUGCUUAAGAUUAUAUAUUUUAUUCUACAGCUUUUACUCCUAUUAUAUUAAAAAUUAAACAUUAAUAAUUGUUGAUUUUUACAAUAUAAUUAUUGAAGAAAACCACAAAAAACUAAUAACAAUAGAUAAUUUCGAAUCAUAUACCGGGUGUUAACUUAUAUUUUCCCCCAUUUUAACUGCCUAUAAUUUCUAAACGGCUCAAGAUAGAAAUAUACGGUUUUCGCUGAAAUGUUUUAUUUUAGUAAAAGUUUUGUUUGAAUAAAUUGAAAUUUUUAUAUCGCUUUUAAAAAAAAUGGCGAAUUUUUGAAAAAAAAAACGUUUUUGACUUUUUUUUUAAUGAAACACUCAUGUAUAUUUUUUUGUAAAUUGAAAGAACGGUCAUUCACGUAUCCGGCGAUAUAAAGUUUUUUAAAAUCGGUUGUAAAAUGACUGAGUAAUUAAUUUUUAAAAUGAGAGAUGCAAUGUGGAAAUCACAUAACAUAAUAUCAAUUUUCUUAGUUAUGUGAUAUACACGUUGCAUCUCUCAUUUUAAAAAUUAAUUACUCAGUCAUUUGACAACCGAUUUUAAAAACUUUGUAUUGCUGGAUAGGUGAAUGACCGUUCUUUCAAUUUACAAAAAAAUAUAUUGGGUGUUCCAUUAAAAAAAGUCAACAACGUUUUUUUCAAAAAUCCGCCAGUUUUUUCGUAAUUGAAAGCGUAAUAAAAAAUUAUAUCCAUUCAAACAAAACUUUUACUAAAACAAGACAUUUCAGCGUAAACCGCAUAUUUCUAUCUUGAGCCGUUUAGAAGUUAUAGGCAGUUAAAUGGGGGAAAAUAUAAGUGGACACCUGGUAUUAUGUGAAAGGGUACCCCCGUUAACAAAGGCAUAAGGCCGUCUAACAGAAUUAGUAAAUUGCUUUUAAAAAACUUGAAUACUCUUUAUAGACCCCUUAGCAAUUUAUAUUAAUUUCCUUUCCGUGUAGCUUGAGUGUACAUAACCUAGAAAUUAAUUUUUUAAGCUGCAGAGUUUAUUUUUUUUUUAUUUUUUUGUAUUUUAUCAAAAAAUAUAUUUUUUCCGUAAGUUGUAUCUUCAAAACCUAUAAAAUUGGUUUUUGGCAGUUUUCCUUAUUUUAUUGACUUCAAAAUAGAUAAAAUUAAGGUUACUUUAUACGUUUUAUAUAAUUUGAAGUUACUAAUUCCUUCAGAAUGUUAAAAAAUUAUACGAAACACCUUUUACCCCCCGUAAAACCAUGUUUUUCACGGUUUUUAAGUUUUAUUGCGGGUAUAAUAAUAUUUUUUGAGAUCGAUGUCUCGUGUAUUUUAAGAACAUACUUUGAAACGUGACAUUGAAUGGCUCAUAACUCAAAAAAAAAAAUAGAAAAAUUCAGCAAAAACACCCAAAAACAUUUGAAAAACGGAUUUUUUGCAUGUUUCAAGAAAUCUCUGAAUAUGGAAAAUACAUCGUUUUAUGAUAUUUUAUAAAAAAAUUUAAAACAUGUUUAAUAAUGUAAAGAUUUUUUUUAAAGUAGAGUAAAUCAAGGAAAAAUCCCGGAAUAACCCUCGAAAACAUGGUUUUUCGCAUAUGAUUGUAUUUUCUUUUUUGAGGCCUGAAACUAUUAUUUUUCAUAUUUUUUUUAAUAUGAAUGAAUUGAAGACGCAUUGAUUCAGGUUGUAUGGAUCUCAAAAACUGGGAUUAACCACACAAAAACCUGGUUUUUGGGGCGUUAAAGGCGUUUCGCCCAAUUUUGUAAUGCCCUGAAGGAAUCAGUUACUUCAAAUUACUUAUAAUAACCUAUAAAAUCUUGAUUCAAUAUAUUUUAAAGUCUAUAAAAAUGGAAAAUACCCAAAAACCACUAAAAAACUAGUUUUUUGGUUUUUGAAGGUUGUGCACUUUGCGGAAAAAUCUAGAAAAAACAGAAAUAUAUUUUUUGAUAAUAUACACAAAUAAAUUAGACCUACAGCCAUCUCAAAAAAAAGUUAUACACUUAAAAAAAUCAUUUUUAGGCUCAACUAUGCGUGUGAAUUUCUUGAAAAUUUUAAAUCGAUUCCAACUGACGGAAAAUAAUAAAACAAAAAAUUACGUUUUUGGGGGUAUUUUGCCUAUCUCAACGGAGCGCAUCUUGCUUAUGUUUAAGGGGGGUAGCUUUUAAUUAUAGGAUAUAAGACUUCUUGUUAACGACCCGGUUUUUUAGCUGUGUCAGCUGACAAUCGAAGAUGCGUGCCCAUGGCUCAAACUGAUCCUGUAUCAACAUCAAUUUUAUAACAGGUGAUUCAGUAAAACGGUACGAUUUGGCAACGCUGCUGAGUAUAAAAUAGAGGUGCCGCGGGCUUGCGACGUAAACGUUGUGAAUCUCGAGAGGGGGAAGUUUAGAGUUUAGUUAUCAGUUAUCAUGGAGACGUGGUCGGGUAAACAACGCGCAUUUGCUGUGAAAGCUUAUUACAAAAAUGGUGGAAGUUGUGUGCGUGUACAACGAGCGUUUCGUUUAGAUUACCAUUUUCCGCUCCGCGCUGCAGUUCCGUCUAACAUAGCUAUAAGACUUUGUUUAGGAUCUUUGAAAGUAGUGGUUCAACAUCACAGAAAAGAGGUGGCAGUGUCAGAACUGACUUGGGUGUAAUGGAUUUCGCACCGCUUAAAUAAUCUGAGGUGUGUGAGCAGUUCUGAUACUGCCACCUCUUUUCUGUGAUGUUGAACCACUACUUUCAAAGUUCCUAAUCCAAGUCUAAUAGACAUGUUAGACGGAACUGCAGCGCGGGGCGACAAAUGGUAGUCUAAACGAAACGCUCGUUAUACAUACACAAAACUUUCACUAUUUUUGUAAUAGCCUUUAAACUUCCCACUCUCUAGAUUCACAACGUUUACGUCACAAUCCCGCGGCACCUCUAUUUUAUACUCAGCAGCGUUGCCAAAUCGUACGGUUUCACUGAAUCACCUUGUAUUAAAAUCCGUAUAGUCAGAUGAGGCACUGUAAACCUUACAUAGCCCCGGCUACAAACCGGUCGUUCACAAAAGCUCUAAAGGUACAGGAAGUAUCUGAAAAUUUGACACAUGUUUAAAUAAAUAUAUAAAUACUGCUUGGAUUGUAGGCAUCGAAAAAAGAUUGGUUCAAAACAACAAAGUGUGCCAUAAACGUACAACACCUGUUUACUUUUAGUACAAACGAAUAUUAUUCCUAAAGAGGAACUUUUAUUUUUUAUUAUAUUUUUUAAUUUGUUGAUAUGCGCUCGAAUUGAUGGAUUUUUGAUGUCAAUGCGUUUAGGACUAACCAAAAUUGUUAUCAGAUUUCGUGUAUCAAAAGAUUGUUAUCAUCAGAUGGUUAAGUAGUGAGAUAUGUUUGUUAUGUUGUAUUUUAUGUUAGAUUGUAUAGUUUCAUUAAUAUAUUAUUUCUUUUGUUUAUAACUGAAUGUAUAUAUUGUCAUUUAAGGUAUUUAAAAGUUAAAAAAUUAUAAAAAACAAAUUUGAA